rnacentral:rRNA from 1 species
GAACGGAGAAUUGCUAGCUUGCUAAUAAUUCUCUAGUGGCGCACGGGUGAGUAACACGUGAGUACCUGCCCCCAAGAGUGGGAUAGCCCCGGGAAACUGGGAUUAAUACCGCAUAAAGCAAUAAAGCAGCAAUGCGCUUGGGGAUGGGCUCGCGUCCUAUUAGUUAGUUGGUGAGGUAACGGCUCACCAAGGCGAUGACGGGUAGCCGGUCUGAGAGGAUGUCCGGCCACACUGGAACUGAGACACGGUCCAGACACCUACGGGUGGCAGCAGUCGAGAAUCAUUCACAAUGGGGGAAACCCUGAUGGUGCGACGCCGCGUGGGGGAUAAGGUCUUCGGAUUGUAAACCCCUGUCAUGUGGGACAUUAAAAAGAUAGUACCACAAGAGGAAGAGACGGCUAACUCUGUGCCAGCAGCCGCGGUAAUACAGAGGUCUCAAGCGUUGUUCGGAAUCACUGGGCGUAAAGCGUGCGUAGGCGGUUUCGUAAGUCGUGUGUGAGAGGCGGGGGCUCAACCCCCGGACUGCACAUGAUACUGCG